GGAGUAUGUGGUUUAAUUCGAUGCAACGCGAAGAACCUUACCUGGUCUUGACAUCCCGGAGACCCUUAGGAAACUAGGGGGUGGCUUCCAUCUGGAAGAAUCUGGAGACAGGUGCUGCAUGGCUGUCGUCAGCUCGUGUCGUGAGAUGUUGGGUUAAGUCCCGCAACGAGCGCAACCCUUGCCUUUAGUUGCCAGCAGUUCGGCUGGGCACUCUAAAGGGACUGCCGGUGUUAAACCGGAGGAAGGUGGGGAUGACGUCAAGUCCUCAUGGCCUUUAUGACCAGGGCUACACACGUACUACAAUGGCCGAUACAAAGGGCAGCGACACUGCGAGGUGAAGCCAAUCCCGUAAAAUCGGUCUCAGUCCGGAUUGGAGUCUGCAACUCGACUCCAUGAAGUUGGAAUCGCUAGUAAUCGUGGAUCAGCAUGCCACGGUGAAUACGUUCCCGGGCCUU
rnacentral:rRNA from 1 species